UUGUAUCAUGGAACAGUUUUCAUGUGAAGAAAAAGGCAAACAUUUGGGAAGGGCCUCUCGCCACUCUCUCGGACUCGGUGGUUUAACUGCUCUCUCACAAUGGCUCCCUCGCCACUCUCUCUCAACCCCCUGCGUCCUCUCUCACACACCUCAUUUCCAAGCCUCAUACAUCUUCUUAAGAUAUCCAUUUGCAAGCUUUUUUCUUCUUCAACACGGCUUAUAGGGGUUGAAAAACGAGGAGAUUUGGUGUCUCAAACAUUUCGGUUUUGCCCGAAAUCGAAUCCACUUCAAAAAGGAAAAGCAUAAUCUGUACUUCCAAAAUUUCAGCAAAUUCCUCCUUGUCAGAGGCGCAUAAUGGCCUCUUGGAUGGGGAGAAAUCCUAGAAAAAAAGUCGUAGGUUUUCAUGUUCAUGCAAGUUGCAAUCCAUGAGACCUCUUCUUGGUUUUUCCGCAAUAACUAUUCAUGCAUCCAACAUCUCGGGCGAGGAUCAGGUGGCUUUCAAUCGUGACUCGGUAAGCGUCACAAUGUAUAAGAAAAGUCAUGAUGGCGGGCCGAAUCAAAGGAAAAGCCGAUUUGUAUAUGACAUUUUGAACAUCGCCGAUUUUCAGAUUUUCAAGGAAUUCAAGGUGCAUUUCUGUGUUAAUAUGGGGUCUCGAUUCUCAGGACAAAAUGUUUGUGGGAUCGAGCUCUAUUAUUUUCCCACCAUGUAUCAUAAAAACUCUGGACAAAAUCCAUUUCAAAAUGAAUAAUAUAU